GACGAACGCUGGCGGCGUGCCUAAUACAUGCAAGUCGAGCGAAGUUUUUCUGGUGCUUGCACUAGAAAAACUUAGCGGCGAACGGGUGAGUAACACGUAAAGAACCUGCCUCAUAGACUGGGACAACUAUUGGAAACGAUAGCUAAUACCGGAUAACAGUAUUUCUCGCAUGAGAGAUAUUUAAAAGUUGGUUAUGCUAACACUAUGAGAUGGCUUUGCGGUGCAUUAGCUAGUUGGUGGGGUAAAGGCCCACCAAGGCGACGAUGCAUAGCCGACCUGAGAGGGUGAUCGGCCACACUGGGACUGAGACACGGCCCAGACUCCUACGGGAGGCAGCAGUAGGGAAUCUUCCGCAAUGGGCGAAAGCCUGACGGAGCAACGCCGCGUGAGUGAAGAAGGAUUUCGGUUCGUAAAGCUCUGUUGUUAGGGAAGAAUGGAUAUGCAGUAACUAUACAUGUAAGAGACGGUACCUAACCAGAAAGCCACGGCUAACUACGUG
rnacentral:rRNA from 1 species